GAUGAACGCUGGCGGCGUGCCUAAUACAUGCAAGUCGAGCGAACAGAUAAGGAGCUUGCUCCUUUGACGUUAGCGGCGGACGGGUGAGUAACACGUGGGUAACCUACCUAUAAGACUGGGAUAACUUCGGGAAACCGGAGCUAAUACCGGAUAACAUUUGGAACCGCAUGGUUCUAAAGUGAAAGAUGGUUUUGCUAUCACUUAUAGAUGGACCCGCGCCGUAUUAGCUAGUUGGUAAGGUAACGGCUUACCAAGGCGACGAUACGUAGCCGACCUGAGA
rnacentral:rRNA from 1 species